GCAAACAACACUGCACUCAACCCAGAAACUCAAAUCUGAAUCCUGGCUUUUCCCAGACUGGCAUAUCCACUAACAUUUUAGUUCCAAUGACGAGAAAUACAAAGAAGAAACAAAACCAACUGAUUCUGUGACAACAGACAGAGAAACAAGGUGAAGUCUCAUGUACUCAGGCCGACCUCAAGUUCACUGUGUAGCCAAGGAUAACUCUGAGUUCAAAUCCAACUGCUUCUGUCCUCAUUCCCAGUUUAUACAAAGCUGGACAUGGAACCUAAAGCUGCCUGCAUGCUUGAUAAGCAAGCUUCCAACAAAGACCCAAUCCAAGCCCCAAACUACAGUUUAGAAUGAUAACACCAAUGACAAUAUGAAUCAGAAAACACUGCCCAUCCAACUGUGCCAUCUUGGUGAAGCCUGUGCAGUUCAACGGGGACAGAAAAGAUGGGCUAAAGCAGGAACAGUUUCUUAUUUACCUUUUUACUGUUGUGAAGAGAUCAUGACCAAGGCAACUUGACAAAAGAUAGCAUUUAACUAGGGGCAUUCUCACAGAUUCAGAGGCUUGGUCCACAAUCAUCAUGGCAGGAAGCAUGGUAGUAGGCAGCCAUCAAACUGGAGCAGUACCUGCAACCUCUAUAUUCUGAUUCCCAGGAAGCAGGAAAGAGAUGGAGAGAGACCAGGCCUGGCAUGGGCUUUUGAAACCUCAAAGUCUACUGCCAGCAAUACAUCUCAUAUAUCUCCUCUCACAAGGACAUAUUUGUUAAUCCUUCCCCCAAAAUUUAUCAACUGGAGAUUAAAGAUGUGAAUACAUGA